rnacentral:rRNA from 1 species
UACGGAGGAUGCAAGCGUCAUCCGGAUUUAUUGGGUUUAAAGGGUGCGUAGGCGGGUUAUCAAGUCAGCGGUGAAAUUUUUCGGCUUAACCGUAAAAUUGCCGUUGAAACUGGUGAUCUUGAGUGCGAGCGAGGUAGGCGGAAUGUGCCGUGUAGCGGUGAAAUGCAUAGAUAUGGCACAGAACUCCGAUUGCGAAGGCAGCUUACUAGUACGCUACUGACGCUGAUGCACGAAGGCGUGGGGAUCAAACAGG